GACGGAGGGUGCAAGCGUUGUUCGGAAUUACUGGGCGUAAAGCGCACGUAGGCGGAUCAGUCAGUCAGGGGUGAAAUCCCGGGGCUCAACCCCGGAACUGCCUUUGAUACUGCUGGUCUGGAGGUCGAGAGAGGCGAGUGGAAUUCCGAGUGUAGAGGUGAAAUUCGUAGAUAUUCGGAGGAACACCAGUGGCGAAGGCGGCUCGCUGGCUCGAUACUGACGCUGAGGUGCGAAAGCGUGGGGAGCAAACAGG
rnacentral:rRNA from 1 species